rnacentral:rRNA from 1 species
GAUGAACGCUGGCGGCGUGCCUAAUACAUGCAAGUCGAGCGAACAGACGAGGAGCUUGCUCCUCUGACGUUAGCGGCGGACGGGUGAGUAACACGUGGAUAACCUACCUAUAAGACUGGGAUACUUCGGGAAACCGGAGCUAAUACCGGAUAAUAUAUUGAACCGCAUGGUUCAAUAGUGAAAGACGGUUUUGCUGUCACUUAUAGAUGGAUCCGCGCCGCAUUAGCUAGUUGGUAAGGUAACGGCUUACCAAGGCAACGAUGCGUAGCCGACCUGAGAGGGUGAUCGGCCACACUGGAACUGAGACACGGUCCAGACUCCUACGGGAGGCAGCAGUAGGGAAUCUUCCGCGAUGGGCGAAAGCCUGACGGAGCAACGCCGCGUGAGUGAUGAAGGUCUUCGGAUCGUAAAACUCUGUUAUUAGGGAAGAACAAAUGUGUAAGUAACUAUGCACGUCUUGACGGUACCUAAUCAGAAAGCCACGGCUAACUACGUG